ACUGUCUCUCAUGGGAUGAUAGUGAUAAUACCGGUUUUCGGCGGAGGGACAAGGCUGACCGUCACAGGUGGGCCCAAGUCAGCACCCUCAGUCACACUGUUCCCACCAUCCACUGAGGAACUCAGCACCAACAAGGCCACACUGGUGUGUCUCAUCAGUGACUUCUACCCUGGCAGUGUGACUGUGGGCUGGAAGGAAGAUGGCACCACCAUCACCAAAGGGGUGCAGACCACCAAGCCCUCCAAGCAGAGCAACAGCAAGUACGCAGCCAGCAGCUACCUGAGCCUGACAGCCAGUGACUGGAAAUCUCAUAGUUCAUACAGCUGCCAGGUGACGCAUGAAGGCAGCACCGUGGAGAAGACAGUGCGCCCCAGCUGAGUGUGAAGUCCCAGGCCCUCCUCGCCCCCAUACUUGAGGAUGGCUACACAGGACCUGGGUGGGUCUCUCCUUCCACCUUAACCAUCCCCAACCCAUCUGCCUGGAUUCAACCAACUCUCAAUAAAAUGUCCUCACUUUAAUCAUA